rnacentral:rRNA from 1 species
UAGGGAAUCUUCCGCAAUGGACGAAAGUCUGACGGAGCAACGCCGCGUGAGUGAAGAAGGAUUUCGGUUCGUAAAACUCUGUUGUUAGGGAAGAAAAAAUGUAUAGUAACUAUAUACAAAAGAGACGGUACCUAACCAGAAAGCCACGGCUAACUACGUGCCAGCAGCCGCGGUAAUACGUAGGUGGCAAGCGUUGUCCGGAAUUAUUGGGCGUAAAGCGCGCGCAGGUGGUUUAGAAAGUCUGAUGUGAAAGCCCACGGCUCAACCGUGGAGGGUCAUUGGAAACUAAUAAACUUGAGUGCAGGAGAGAAAAGUGGAAUUCCUAGUGUAGCGGUAAAAUGCGUAGAUAUUAGGAGGAACACCGGUGGCGAAGGCGGCUAUCUGGACAGUAACUGACGCUGAGGCGCGAAAGCGUGGGGAGCAAACAGG